rnacentral:rRNA from 1 species
UCUUUUUGAUUCGGAUAAAAAGUAUAGCCUGCCCGAUGCUGUCUGUGAAUGGCCGCAGUAUACCUGACUGUGCUAAGGUAGCAUAAUUGCUUGUCAUUUUAUUGAUGUCUUGUCUGAAAGGUAUUAUGAAGUAGUAUUUUCUUCCUAAUUUUGAUGAAUUUUUAAUCCCAGUAAAAAUACCCGGGUAAUUAAAAAAGACGAGAAGACCCCGUAGAGCUUAAGAAUUUUUUUAGGUUAUUCUUUAGAUGGGACGUUGGAUUUUUCUUCAAAGUUUUUUAGAACCUUUUUGGAAAAAAGGUAAAGCUACCUCGGGGAUAACAGGGUUAUUUUUCUUAAGAGUUCUUAUUGAGAGAAAGGUUUGCUACCUCGAUGUUGAAUCGGAGUUUAUCUUUGGUUGCAGAAGCUACGGAUUUUGUGUCUGUUCGACACUUUAAAUUCUACG